rnacentral:rRNA from 1 species
AUUGAACGCUGGCGGAAUGCUUUACACAUGCAAGUCGAACGGUAGAGGGGGCAACCCCUCGAGAGUGGCGAACGGGUGAGUAAUAUAUCGGAACGUGCCCAGUCGUGGGGGAUAACGCAGCGAAAGUUACGCUAAUACCGCAUACGAUCUAAGGAUGAAAGCGGGGGAUCGCAAGACCUCGCGCGAUUGGAGCGGCCGAUAUCAGAUUAGGUAGUUGGUGGGGUAAAGGCUCACCAAGCCAACGAUCUGUAGCUGGUCUGAGAGGACGACCGGCCACACUGGAACUGAGACACGGUCCAGACUCCUACGGGAGGCAGCAGUGGGGAAUUUUGGACAAUGGACGCAAGUCUGAUCCAGCCAUUCCGCGUGCAGGAUGAAGGCCCUCAGGUUGUAAACUGCUUUUGUACGGAACGAAAAGGUCUCUCUUAAUACGGGGGACUCAUGACGGUACCGUAAGAAUAAGCACCGGCUAACUACGUGCCAGCCGCCGCCGUAA